GCAACGGCAAAAUCCGUUGUCGGGAUUAGUACCCCGCAAUUGCAAAGGCGUGAUAACGCCAGCUUUACGCUGGUUUUUU
rnacentral:sRNA from 1 species